AAACUAAGGGACAAAGGGAGGGGGGGGAUGACCUCUCUGAUCCCUACAGCCUCCAAUUCUGUGACGCAACUUCCAUCACUGCAGGGAGUGGGGUUCUGCCAACAUACCUCCAUCUUGAUCCCUCAGAAAAAAAACUGCCACAAGGAGACAUUUAUUUGCAAGAUUCUCGAGCUUGGCCGAACCCAGAGGUGCAUCCUGUCCCUUUUUCCCUGGCAAGUUCUGGAAUGGGCUAGUGGAGUCAGGAGUCAGAUGCGUGGUCUUACCCAAUUAGCCUGGUUCACAGAGGAAUGA
rnacentral:lncRNA from 1 species